rnacentral:misc_RNA from 1 species
UCAAAACAGCGGACUUCGGUCCUUGCUGCACCCUUGUCUUUUGCGCACCGUAUUGUUUCCUCGGCGGGCUUGCCUGCCGGUUGGACAUGAUCAAAACCUUUUUGUAGUUGCAAUCAGCGUCAGAAAAACAAUAAUUAUUA